rnacentral:lncRNA from 13 species
AAAAAGGAUCAAUCAAACUUCUAAUCCUAAAUUCCACAUUUGCAUGAAGAACUCUGGGGAGCAUCAUCCACUUUCAAUAGCAGGAGGGACAUGGAUGAAUCUGGAGAACAUCAUUCUCAGCAAACUGACACAAGAACAGAAAAUGAAACACCGCAUAUUCUCACUCAUAGGCGGGUGAUGAAAAAUGAGAACACAUGGACACAGGGAGGGGAGUACUAAACACUGGGGUCUAUUGGGGGUAAAAG